rnacentral:rRNA from 1 species
AAUGAACGCUGGCGGCAUGCCUUACACAUGCAAGUCGAACGGCAGCAUGACCUAGCUUGCUAGGUUGAUGGCGAGUGGCGAACGGGUGAGUAAUGCAUCUGAACGUGCCUUUUUUUGGGGGAUAACGUAGCGAAAGUUACGCUAAUACCGCAUAUUCUCUGAGGAGGAAAGCAGGGGACCUUCUUGCCUUGCGCUAGAAGAUCGGCCGAUGUCGGAUUAGCUAGUUGGUGAGGUAAAGGCUCACCAAGGCAACGAUCCGUAGCGGGUCUGAGAGGAUGAUCCGCCACACUGGGACUGAGACACGGCCCAGACUCCUACGGGAGGCAGCAGUGGGGAAUUUUGGACAAUGGGCGCAAGCCUGAUCCAGCAAUGCCGCGUGAGUGAAGAAGGCCUUCGGGUUGUAAAGCUCUUUAGGCUGGGAAGAAGACGCACACACUAAUACAGGGUGUGGAUGACGGUACCAGAAUAAGAAGCACCGGCUAACUACGUG